CCUACGGGAGGCAGCAGUAGGGAAUCUUCCACAAUGGGCGAAAGCCUGAUGGAGCAACGCCGCGUGGGUGAAGAAGGUCUUCGGAUCGUAAAACCCUGUUGUUAGAGAAGAAAGUGCGUGAGAGUAACUGUUCACGUUUCGACGGUAUCUAACCAGAAAGCCACGGCUAACUACGUGCCAGCAGCCGCGGUAGUACGUAGGUGGCAAGCGUUAUCCGGAUUUAUUGGGGGUAAAGGGAACGCAGGCGGUCUUUUAAGUCUGAUGUGAAAGCCUUCGGCUUAACCGGAGUAGUGCAUUGGAAACGGGGAGACUUGAGUGCAGAAGAGGAGAGUGGAACUCGAGGUGUAGAGGUGAAAUGCGUAGAUAUAGGGAAGAACACCAGUGGCGAAAGCGGCUUUCUGGUCUGUAACUGACGCUGAGGUUCGAAAGCGUGGGUAGCAAACAGGAUUAGAUACCCCAGUAGUC
rnacentral:rRNA from 1 species